rnacentral:rRNA from 1 species
UACGGAGGGUGCAAGCGUUAUCCGGAUUUACUGGGUUUAAAGGGUGUGUAGGCGGGCCUUUAAGUCUGGGGUGAAAUCUCCGAGCUCAACUCGGAAACUGCCCUGGAUACUAUUGGUCUUGAAUUAUGUUGAGGUUGGCGGAAUAUAACAUGUAGCGGUGAAAUGCAUAGAUAUAUUAUAGAACACCGAUUGCGAAGGCAGCUAACUAAGCAUAUAUUGACGCUGAGGCACGAAAGCGUGGGGAUCAAACAGG